rnacentral:tRNA from 1 species
GGGGAUUUAGCUCAGUGGUAGAGCGCUUGCCUAGCAAGCGCAAGGCCCUCAAUUCAGUCCCCA